rnacentral:rRNA from 1 species
CAGUACCGCGGUAACACAGAGGGUGCGAGCGUUAAUCGGAUUUACUGGGCGUAAAGCGUGCGUAGGCGGCUUCUUAAGUCGGAUGUGAAAUCCCUGAGCUUAACUUAGGAAUUGCAUUCGAUACUGGGAAGCUAGAGUAUGGGAGAGGAUGGUAGAAUUCCAGGUGUAGCGGUGAAAUGCGUAGAGAUCUGGAGGAAUACCGAUGGCGAAGGCAGCCAUCUGGCCUAAUACUGACGCUGAGGUACGAAAGCAUGGGGAGCAAACAGGAUUAGAUACCCCCGUAGUCCCUGUCUCUUAUACA